AUGGCGCAACUCCCCUGUGAUGGGUCAGUGGAGCCCUCCCGGCGUCCCAGCGCGCACCACCGGUGGGUGUGGGGGCGUCUUGGAUGUCGCGGCGGCGGUGCUUGGCCUGGUCGGGAUAGAGGAAUAAAGCGGCAAGGAGAAGGAGCCGGAAGGAAGGAAGACAGAGAUCCAGGGAAUUUGAGGAUUGGAGAUGGGAGGAAGGAGAGCGCUACGCGGAACGGCGGAAGAGAUGCCGGCGGCUGCGGGUCGGGGAGAUAG
rnacentral:rRNA from 1 species